rnacentral:lncRNA from 1 species
UCUUUUUCUUGAUUUCUUUGCAGAGCCUGGCUUUAGAGUAACACUUUGCCAUUCACUAGCUGUGUGACCUUGGGCAAAUUCUUCAACCUCUCUGAGUCUUGGUGUUUCUUCUGUAAAAUAAGGGUUGUAAAAUAGUGGACCGUUUGCCUGGUUCUUGUGAAAACCAAGAGAUUAUAUGCCAGGUGCUGAGUACUGUGCUAGGGACAUGUUGGGUGCUUGAUAAGGGAUGGGGGUUAUUCUGAGUGUCAGCGGUGGGACUGUUUUAUCCUGCCAUCUCCCCUUUCACCCACAGGAAUGAGCAGCCCAGUGGGUAAAGGUUGGCCAGAACUAUAGUUGACUCAACUACAGUUGAGUGAAUGAUCUUUGCUUGCUUUUCUUCCUCCCACACUUUGGUUGGGGAAACUGAGGCCACCCUGAAGUUCCCACCUACACCUCAUGACUUUCUGAGAUCCCUGGAGGGUGGCUUAGGAAAUGUCUUUGGAGAUUUGGGAACACACUGGAUACAUCAGUUGGUGAGCCAGGGAAAUUAGCAGGAACGAGCUCAUUUCGAUAGCAAUGAGCUGAGUCUCCCUCCAGCUGCCAGACAUUUACGAGGCUGGCUGGGUGCCGGCGGCCGGAGGCCUCCAAUGGCCCUCAUCCCUCUGCCUUCCGGCUGGAAAUAAUUCGUGUUUAAAAAAUAACAAUAAUAAAAAAAAAAUCUCCAUCUU